CCCUCUAUGGGUCCCUCUGUGGGUCACUGUGUGGGUCAAUGUGUGUCCCUCUAUGGGUCAAUGUGUGUCCCUCUCUGGGUCCCUCUAUGGGUCAAUGUGUGGCCCUCUAUUGGUCCCCCUAUGGGUUCAAUGUGUGGGUCAGUGUGUGGGUCAAUAUGUGUCCCUCUAUGGGUCCCCAUAUGGGUCGAUGUGUGGGUCAAUGUGUGUCCCUCUAUGGGUCCCCCUAUGGUCCCCUAUGGGUCAAUGUGGGUCCCUCUAUGGAUCCGCCUAUGGGUCCCUCUCUGGUCCCCCUAUGGGUCCCCCUAUGGGUCAAUGUGUCCCUCUAUGGGUCCCCCUAUGGGGCAACGUAUGGGUCAGUGUGUGGGUCAAUGCGGGUCUCUCUAUGGUCCCUCUAUGGGUCCCCCUAUGGGUCAAUGUGUGUCCCUCUAUGGGUCCUCCUAUGGGUGUCCCUCUCUGGUCCCUCUAUGUGUCCCCCUAUGGGUCAGUGUGUGGGUCAGUGUGUGUCCCUCUAUGGGUCCCUCUAUGUGUCCCCCUAUGGGCAAUGUGUGUCCCUCUAUGGGUCCCCCUAUGGGUCAGUGUGUAGGUCAGUGUGUGGGUCCCUCUAUGGGUCACUGUGUGGGUCAAUGUGUGUCCCUCUAUGGGUCCCUCUAUGUGUCCCCCUAUGGGUCAAUGUGUGUCCCCCUAUGUGUCCCCCUAUGGGUCAGUGUGUGGGUCAGUGUGUGGGUCAGUGUGUGUCCCUCUAUGGGUCCCUCUAUGUGUCCCCCUAUGGGGCAAUGUGUGGGUCAAUGUGUGUCCCUCUAUGGGUCCCUCUAUGGGUCAGUGUGUGGGUCAAUGUGUAUCCCUCUAUGGGUCAAUGUGGGUCCCUCUAUGGGUCCCCCUAUGGGUCAUGUGUGUCCCCUCUCUGGGUCCCCCUAUGGGUCCCCCUAUGGGUCAAUGUGUGUCCCCUAUGGGUCCCCCUAUGGAUCAAUGUGUGGGUCAAUG
rnacentral:lncRNA from 1 species